GUAAGGUGAUAUGAACCGUUAUAACCGGCGAUACCCGAAUGGGGAAACCCAGUGUGAUUCGUCACACUAUCAUUAACUGAAUCCAUAGGUUAAUGAGGCGAACCGGGGGAACUGAAACAUCUAAGUACCCCGAGGAAAAGAAAUCAACCGAGAUUCCCCCAGUAGCGGCGAGCGAACGGGGAGGAGCCCAGAGCCUGAAUCAGCAUGUGUGUUAGUGGAAGCGUCUGGAAAGGCGCGCGAUACAGGGUGACAGCCCCGUACACAAAAGCGCAUGUGCUGUGAGCUCGAUGAGUAGGGCGGGACACGUGGUAUCCUGUCUGAAUAUGGGGGGACCAUCCUCCAAGGCUAAAUACUCCUGACUGACCGAUAGUGAACCAGUACCGUGAGGGAAAGGCGAAAAGAACCCCGGCGAGGGGAGUGAAAAAGAACCUGAAACCGUGUACGUACAAGCAGUGGGAGCACCCUUCGGGGUGUGACUGCGUACCUUUUGUAUAAUGGGUCAGCGACUUAUAUUCUGUAGCAAGGUUAACCGUAUAGGGGAGC
rnacentral:rRNA from 1 species